rnacentral:tRNA from 1 species
AUUUGAAUAGUUUAAGUAAAACGUUGGUUUGUGGUGCCAAAAAUAUAAUGAUAUUAUUUUAAAUC